GAGUUUGAUUCUGGCUCAGGACGAACGCUGGCGGCGUGCCUAAUACAUGCAAGUCGAGCGGGAGUUAUUAAGGAAGUGAUUCGUCAUGGAGAGAAUAACUUUAGCGGCGGACGGGUGAGUAACGCGUGAGCAAUUUGGCCUAUACAGGGGGAUAACACAGGGAAACUUGUACUAAUACCGCAUAAUAUCCAAGUAUCGCAUGAGAGUUGGAUGAAAGUGGAGACACGGUAAAGGGGGAGCUCGCGUUCUAUUAGAUAGUUGGUGAGGUAACGGCUCACCAAGUCUACGAUAGAUAGCCGACCUAAGAGGGUGAUCGGCCACACUGGAACUGAGACACGGUCCAGACUUCUACGGAAGGCAGCAGUAGGGAAUAUUGGGCAAUGGAGGAAACUCUGACCCAGCAACGCCGCGUGAAGGAAGAAGGUUUUCGGAUUGUAAACUUCUAUCCUUGGUGAAGAUAAUGACG
rnacentral:rRNA from 1 species